UUUCCGUAGGUGAACCUGCGGAAGGAUCAUUCAUAAUAGAGUGUUUUAUGGCACUUUUUAAAAAUCCAUAUCCACCUUGUGUGCAAUGUUAGAUCUCGUCAAUCUUGGCGAGAUUUUUAUACAUCAACUCAUUCUUUAACUACUUUGUCUGAAAAAUAUUAUGAAUACUUAAUUCAAAAUACAACUUUCAACAACGGAUCUCUUGGCUCUC
rnacentral:misc_RNA from 1 species